GAUAUGGGGAUAUAUGUAUAUGUAUAGCUGAUUCACUUUGUUAUACAGCAAAAACUAACAUACCAUUGUAAAGCAAUUAUACUCCAAUAAAGAUGUUAAAAAAUAUAUAUAUUCAAAAUAUUCGAGGAAACUAUGCCAACAACAAAUAAACAAAUAAAGAAUCUCAACAGAGAAAUGGAAAAAAGAAGCAAGUGGAAAUUCUAGAGCUUAAAACUGUACUAACUGAAAUGAAAAAUUCAUGGCAUGAGUUUAUUUGGGAUGUGAGAAGAAAGAAUCGCUGAAUUUCAUAGAAUGAUAGAAAUAAUUUAAUCCAAAGAACAAAAAGAAAACACCUCAUGAUCAAACUGCCAAAAGCUAGAAGUAAAGAAAUCAUUUUUUUUCUAUUUUUUGGCCAUGCCCUGUGGCAUGUGGGAUCUUAGUUCCCCGACCAGGGAUCAAAACCCUGCAGUGGAAGCAUGGUGUCUUAACCACUGGACUUCCAGGGAAGUCCCAAGAAAUCAUUUUUAAGAGAGCAAAAAAAAAAAAAUGUUACAUUCUACACAGGGAACAACAAUAUAAUUUACUGCUGACUUUUCAUAGAAAUAACAGAAGCCAAAGGACAUUGAAAGCCUAAAAUACUUUGUGAAUUUGCUGCAUUUUCUGUGAAAGAACAGUGGCUUCCUAUUCUUUUUUAGUGAUUGCCUAUUCUGUUUAGUGACAUGAUAAAAGAAAAUAAAAAGCUAUAACCAAUAAAACCGUCUCUCAAAACUGAAGACAAAACAUAAAACCAUUUCUAGGUUAAAAAAAGAGAGAGAAAAUAAAACUGAGAGAAUUUGUUGCUGGCAAACCUGUGCUAAAAGAACUGCUAAAGAGAGGUGACAUUGGAUGGUAACUUGUAUAGUAACUUAGAUUCAAGAAGGACUAAAGAAUACCCCAAAUGGAAAUAAUACAUUUUUUCUUCUAUUACUUUUUUAAAAAAGACACAUGACUAUUGGAAGCAAAAAUUAUAAUACUACAUUGUUGGGCUUUAACAUAUAAAGAUUAUAUAUAUGACCACAAUAGCACAAAAAAUAGCACAAAAGGGAAUGGAGUUAUAUAAACGCAAAGUUCCUACAUUUUAUUUGAAGUUAGUCAGUAUUAACUUGAAAUAGAUGGUGAUAAAUAAAAGAUGUAUAUUGUAAUACUUAGGUAAAGCACUAAAAUUAAUGCAAAGAAAUAUAGCUAAGAAGUCAAUACAGGGACUUCUCUGGUGGUGCAGUCAUUGGGAAUCCGCCUGCCAGUGCAGGGGACAUGGGUUCAAUCCCUGGUCUGGGAAGAUCCCACAUGCCAUGGAGCAGCUAAGCCCUUGCACCACAACUACUUAGCCUGCGCUCUAGAGCCCGCGAGCCACAGCUACUGAGCCCGUACACCUAGACCCUAUGCUCCGCAACAAGAGAAGCCAGCACAAUGAGAAACCUGUGCACUGCAAUGAAGAGUAGCCCCCGCUCGUUGCAACUAGAGAAAGCCUGCACAACAAUGAAGACGCAAUGCAGCUAAAACAAAAUAAAAUUUUUUAAAAAAAUAGAAAAUUAAUACAAGAAUUAAAAUGAAAUACAAAAACAUAUUUGUUUAAUAUAAAAAUGCAGGAGUAACAAGGAUUAAAAAGAGAGAAAGAUGAGACAAAUAAGAAAAAAAUAGCUAAAGGCAGACUUAUAACCGUGGGAAUGAACUAAAAAUUCCAAUCAAAAGACAGAAACUGUCAGACUGGAAAAAAGAGAGAGCUGUUGCCUAUAAUAGAUCACUUUAAGUUCAAAGACAUAAAGAGGUUAAAGUAAAUGGAUGAAUAAUAUAUAGGAGGCAAAUACAUAAACAAUAAUCAGAAGGGAGAUGAAUGAUUUUUUAUUAAUGUCAGACAAAAUAGACUUUAAAAAAAUGAAUAUUACUAGAGACAGAGUAUUUUAUAAUGAUAAAAGUGUCAAUACAAGAGAAAGAAAUGAAAUAUUAUUAAUUUAUUUGUACCUAAAAGAGAGGUCCAAAAUUCAUAAAGUAAAAACUGACAGAAUUGAAAGACAAAAUAGAAAUACCAAUAAUUAUAGCUGAAGAUAUCAAUACUGUUCUCUCAGUAAGCGAUAGAACAAGUAGAACAGUAAGAACAGAAAACUUGAACAGCACUAUCAAACAAAUUGACCAAACUGACAUCUAUAGAACACUUCACCCAACAACAGCAGAAUACCUUUUGUUUUCAAAUGUACAUGGAAUGUUUACAAAAUAAACUCUAUGCUGGAUGAUAAAACAUUUUAAAUGUCUGUACAUUUAAAAAGGUUACUAUCAUAUAUAGCAUGCUCUUUGAUGACAAUUGGAAAUAACUUUAGGAAUCUGCAACAGACAAAAUUUGAGAAAUCCUAAUAUACGGGGAAACUAAACACACUUCUAACUAACUUAUGAGUCAAAGAAGAGAUCACAAGGAAAAUUAGAAAAUGCAUCAAACAAUGAAGCAGAGAACACAACAUAUUCAAAUUUGUGGGAUGUAGCCAAAGCAGUGGUUAUAUGGAAAAUUUAUAGCUUUAAAAGCUUAUGUUAUAAAAGAAGACAGUUCUAAAAUCAGUGAACUAUGCUUCCAACUUAGGAAGCUAAAAAUGAAGAGAAGAUUAAAUACUGAGUAAGUAGAAGGAAGGCAAUAAUAAAGAUCAGUAGGGAAAUCAAUAAAAUACAACAUGGAAAAACAAUAGAAAAAAACAAAAAAACCAAAUGCGGUUUCUUUGAAAAGAUCAAUAAAAUUGACAAAUCUUUAUCUGGAUUGAGAGUAGACACAAAUUACCAAUUAGGAAUGAAAGAGGGAACAUCACUACAGAUCAUAAAAACAUUAAGUGGGUAACAAGAAAAUAUUACAAACAACCUGCUCUGAAAUUUAAAACACAUUAAUGAAAGAAAUUAAAGAAGACCUAAAUAAAAUGGAGGGAUAUACCAUGUUCAUGGUCUGAAAGAUCCUGGGUACUCUUUUGCCAUCUUACCUGGGGGCCUUGACAGAAGACAUGUUCAUUUCAGUUUUUUCUUUUUUAAUUAAUUAAUUAAUUUUUGGCUGUGUUGGGUCUUCGUUUCUGUGCGAGCGCUUUCUCUAGUUGUGGCAAAUGGGGGCCACUCUUCAUCACGGUGCGCAGGCCUCUCACUGUUGUGGCCUCUCUUGUUGCAGAGCACAGGCUCCGGACCUGCAGGCUCAGUAGUUGUGGCUCACGGGCCUAGUUGCUCUGCGGCAUGUGGGAUCUUCCUGGACCAGGGCUCGAACCCGUGUCCCCUGCAUUGGCAGGCGGACUCUCAACCAGUGCGCCACCAGGGAAGCCCUCAUUUCUUGCUCAUGUUAGUCCUGUGUGGGUUGGGGGAGGGGAGGGAAGACUCUGCUUCACCUGGUGACUCAGGGACCAGCUUCUUCCGUCUUGUAUCUCCUCCUUCCUCUAGACCUUCAGAGUCCUUUCCUUUCAGCUGGAAGCUGCAUGAAGAGCAAACGUGGAGGACUGUGCAGGGAUUUUUCUAUGACCACAUUAGAUUUUGCUCUACAAAUCACCCUGAACGUAGUACUGCUGUUACCACUGCAGGUGGUGAUUCUGAACAGCGCUGUGGUUCCCGCCACACCCCGCAGUGGGGAUGUGGGGAUGGUAUUUCAGCUUUAGGUGCCCCCAGGGCUUGGGAAGCCCCACUCUGAUUGCUUGUCAUCCUCUCCAACCUGCAAAAUGAACAUAUACCUCUUCCCCAAAUGGCAAAACCACUGGGAGUGAUCCUCCCUUUUCUCUUGGUUGGGGGAAUUCCCUCUGGGCUGCAGUUCUGAGGGGGCCCAGUGGGCACCAUUGGGCUCCACCCUGUGGUGUCCGUUCAGCACGUGGUUCUGGCACCUCGGAGACCCUCUCUCUGUGCGCCCCCUCAGUGCUCCCCUGAUCCUUGCAGCAACAUUCGAGGUCUUUCUCUGGUGUGUCUGGAAGUUCCCUUCCUUCAGCUUUUAGUGAAGGGUACUAAAAUGCAUGCAUUUCCUAGUGAAACUUAAGCAAAGCCAAGCACUGCUGGGGGCCAGUUUUUUUUCUUUAGACUUUAAGCAACAGAGAAGCGGGAUGGUUUCCAAGACCUCAGCCCAGGGCAAUUUGGUAUGUGUGCCUUUUCUGUGACAUCCUCCCUCCAGCCCUUUCUGUGCAGGCAGCCUCUGGCCUCCACCGUGGGAGACGUGGUUCACCAUCUCCCUCCGGGCACAGGGAUGAUGGAGGAAAUUGACCUCAGGGACCUGGCUGAUCACCACAGCUCUGUUCAUCUGUUACCGCUAAGAGGUGAAGUUCAGAAGUCAGCCUGACCUCGUCUACCCCUAGGUCCACGGCAAAGUGAUUCCCUCUUCGCCUCCCAUACUACCUCAAAUAACAUCUAUCUAAAACUCUGCUGUAGGCUGAAACUCUGGGCCCCCACACCCCGCCAAAUUCAUGUGUACCUACAAAUGUAACUCUAUUUGGAGACACGGGUCUGUAAAGAGAUGAUGAAGUUAAAAUGAGAUCCUGUGGAUGGGCCCUAAUCCAACUUGGCUGGUGUCCUUACGAGAAGAGGAGAUUAGGACACAGACACGUGCAGAGGAAAGAUCACGUGAGGACACAGGGAGAAGACAGCCGUCUACAGGCCGAGGAGAAACCAACCCUGCUGACAUCUUGACCUUGGGCUUCUAGCCUGCAGAACUGUGAGAAGACAAACGCCUGUCCUUUAAGCCCCCCAGCCCGAGGCAUUGCGUUAUGGCGGCUGGAAGAGCCUGAGAGCCCUCCCUCCCCAGUCGUUCUCUAUCACACCACCCCUCUUUAUUUUUCACGAUGACUCCAAUCACUGCCUGGAAUUUGUUACUUGUGUGUUGCCCCCUGGCCCUCCUGAGGGUUCAUGAAGGCAGAGACCCUGUCUGCGCUGCCCGCCUCCAGACCCCACGACCCAGGACAGCGCCAGCACGUGCUCAGCUCACAGAGCUGCCAGAUGAUAGACCACUCGCUCACAGUGGAGGCUUCGCUGUGCGGCUGGCAACCAGUUUACUUUAAAGCAAACGAAAUCUUGUAAUUACUCUGGUUGUGGAGAAGUACAUCCCGGCCCAGGCCAGUCCUGGAAGGCCCUGCAGGUCCUGGGGUUGAGAAAGGAAGCAGGACAAACGCACUCUCCCCAGCUUUUAAUGGCGAGCGGGGUUCGAGCUCUCAGAACCCCAGCUCCCGCCUGCUUAGCAGCCUUGGCCACCAGCUGAAGAGCAGACGGAGGAUGCUGGGACAUCCAAGCGCUAAGCGUGUGAGGUUCCAAGUGCCUGUGUGUGCCUGUGUGUGUGUGUGUGUGUGUGUGUGUGUUGGACACGUGGGGUAUGAAACAAUGCAGAUAGAAACAAAAGUGUUUUAGACGUAAUUACCCAACGAAUCAAGAUUGGGCUCUGCUAGGGUUUGGCUUCAUGUCCAAUCAGGAUGGCUUGCUUUAUGAAAGUGUAAAAAUAAAUAUUUAUCCGAAGUCUGUACUCCCAGCCACGGAAUCCAGCAUUUCGUGCAGACAUCACCCUGGAUGAGCUGCUUAAUUAACGCGGGGCUACCCUUGCUUGGAAUUCGUCUGACCCUUCCAGCUACCACGUGGGGCUAGCGGAGCUCGUGAAGAUUCAGCGGUCCCGAACAGAAGCCACUGGUCACAUGAGGCUCUUUCCAGUGAAAUGAAGGAAAGGAGAAGUUCAGUUCCUCAGUUGCUCUGGUCACAUUGCCCAUGUUCAGUGGCCUCAUGGGGUUACUGCAUGGUGGAAAUAUAGAACAUUUCCGGGAUUACAGAAAGUUCUAUUACCUUUAGGGUAGAGAGCAGCCAGGCUGGCAGGGAUCGCUCUGGGGACGUGGAAUGGGUUUGGAGGGCAGUGGUCUUCAGUCUGGAGAGAUCCCCAAAGGGGUGUUGGGACCCUCAGGAAAGCUGGUUGGUUGUCUGUCUGCUGGCCCUUUGUCCUCAGCCAAUAGCAGAGAGACCUGCUUUAGCUGAGGGUCUACGAUGAGCCCAGCUCCUGGUAUUCCAGAUGUAUUUAACGCUUGUAACAAUUCUCUAAGGUAAGUGUUUCCUCAUUUUUAUGAUUGAGAAAACUGCAGAUCAGAGAAGUAACUUGUCCAUCACCAACUAGCAAGUGACACAGUCAGGAUGUAAACUUGGGUUUAGCUAGUCCUGCGCAAAGGCUUUUUCUGUGGUAUCUUUCUGCUUUCUUGGAAACCUGGGCUCUGGUAGAACACAGGGGAGGAAGAGAAUGAUUGCACUCACUCUCUGGGCUCCCCUUCCCUCCAUCAGGGUAUCCCAAAGACCCCUGGUCUCCCUCCUAGCUGGUUGAAACCAGCCGGCUCUGAAGUGUGCAUGUUGCUUACCCGAGGGUCCUUGUCGUGAUGUCUGAGCAUCUUCCUGCAUCUACAGGCAGGUACCUAGAGACAGCCACCUAUAGCACAAUUGAUAAUGGUGUUGAUUAAGCAUAUUGGUAUUGCAGUUCCUAUAGAGGGAGGACCAUGCCUGCUGGGGCACCUGCAGCGCUGCUCACGGAUGGUGGGGCUCGGUAGAGGGGGCUCACCCAUGAGGCCCUGAUGUCCUCAAGAGGGAAGGAGGACUUGCAAGGAGAGCUCAGGUCCUGGAUUUUCUGACCUCACUUUUCUGCUCAUGAAACGAGAAGAGAACCAAGGCAUGUGGCCCUCCAAUCCACAAAUUAUGUACCUUUCAAUCACCUUAUAAAUUCAGUGGGUUACAAUGUUUUCUGCACGUAUAUCUCUUUAAAAAGAUUUUUAUAUAAAUAGGGGCUUAAAAUCUAACUUUAGAAGCCUAUUUUUCACUUUUAGUGCUUUUUUUUGGGGGGGGGCGGUUUAUGCCCUUAAUUAUCACAUGCAGUUGGCACACAAAUGCAGUCUUAAUUAGGCAAAGCCGAAUAAGCGGUAAUACAAGGCAUUUCAGGGACACAUGGGGGAGAUUCUAGGAUCCCAAACCUUAGACACAGAACAGAUGCUGUCUUUUCACGAAGUGCAAGUCUGACUUGUGAAAGUCCUCUUUUAGCCACACUGGGGAGGGAAAGAUACCUGAGGCCGGAGUGGCCAGAGCAGCACCCCCUUCCCCUGUACAGAAAGUGCACAGAUCAUAAACCUACGGCCACAAGUGGACACAUUCUUGUGAACACCGAGGUCAAAUACAGGGACGUUGCCCCAAAAUGGCAUUCCACUAGCAAUCUUAUCUGUCUCUAAAAAUGCCUUUGACUAAAAUUAUAUUUUAUCUGAUACAUAUUUUUUAACUUUCACCUACUACCUUUAUUUAUUUAUUUAUUUAUUUAUUUAAAUUUUGGCUGCAUUGGGUCUUCAUUGCUUCCCACGGGCUUUCUCUAGUUGUGGCGAGUGGGGGCUACUCUUCAUUGUGUUGCACGGGCUUCUCAUUGUGGUGGCUUCUCUUUUUGUGGAGCAUGGGCUCUAGGCGCACGGGCUUCAGUAGUUGUGGCAUGCAGGCUCAGUAGUUGUGGCACGUGGGCUCAGUAGUUGUGGCAUGCGGGCUCAGUAGUUGUGGCACGCGGGCUCAGUAGUUGUGGCACACGGACUCAGUAGUUGUGGCUUGUGGGCUCUAGAGCGCAGGCUCAGUAGUUGUUGCGCACGGGCUUAGUUGCUCCGCGGCAUGUGGGAUCUUCCCAGACCAGGCCUCUAACCCGUGUCCCCAGCACUGGCAGGCACAUUCUUAACCACUGUGCCACCAGGGAAGUCCCUCACCCACUACUUUUAUUUAUUUAUAUUUUUAUUUUCCUCCAGCUGUACCGAGAUACUGUUGACAUACAACACAUGGUUCUCAGUCAGGAGGACAAACCUUGCCCAUAAUUCUAUGGUUCCAGAAAAGAGGCUGCAUUGAUCUAGGUGAUGAUCCAGGGACACACCAAUAAAACCGUCUGCCUGUCCUUCACCUGCCACCUUAAAAAGGCAGGUGGCCAUGGUGGUCCUUAGCCAGUUUGGAUGCCAUGGCUGAAGCCACCCCCAGGACUGAUGGAGCGAUGAGACAGAGGGACCCUACACCCAGACCGGAUGUGACAGAAAAGAAAAGUCUUUCUUGUUUAAACCAGUAUUAAUGUGGCUACAGCUCUGGUAAAGCUAUGAGCCUAUGUCGUAAUGUAAAAUAAUAAGUUUUAGGGUCUCUUGAAAGCUAAAUUUUUUUUUUUUUUUUUUGCGGUACACGGGCCUCUCACUGUUGUGGCCUCUCCCGUUGCGGAGCACAGGCUCCGGACGCGCAGGCUCAGUGGCCACGGCUCACCGGCCCAGCCGCUCCGCGGCAUCUGGGAUCCUCCCGGACUGGGGCACGAACCCGCGUCCACUGCAUCGGCAGGCGGACUCUCAACCGCUGAGCCACCAGGGAAGCCCGAAAGCUAACUUUAAUCACACUUAACCAAAUCAAUGCUUACCUAGCCUUGCAUUGUUAAGCAACAGUGUAUAGCCUCCUUUUUUAAAAAAGGAGUUUUCUGCAUUACGGUAGGUUGACGGUCCAGUUUGCUCUUGGGUCUGAAUCUCCCUGUGGUGUGUCAGCCUAUCUGACAAGUGUGGCAGCAUAUGAUUUGGAAAUAUCAGUUGAUGUUUUCCUUUUUGCCCUCUGAUCCUUCACUCAGGUGGGGUUUUUUUUUGUCUCAGGGAAGGGAGGGGACCACAGAGAGAAAAAACUGGAGUCUGGUCUGGGCCAACCCUGGGGGGCGUCAGAAAGGACUCCUCUGUGCAGACCACUGAGUGGGAGCACUGGGAGAGACCCAGACAGAAAACCGGGCCCUGGGGGCCUUGGGCCGGGGAGAGGGGCCUGACUCAGCAGGAUGGGUGGGCCUGAGGCCACCUCAGCAGGGGCAAGCAUGGACAGAUGACCCCCCCUGAGCCCCUCUGCAACACCAGGGAACCAUGAACUUCUCCUUGAACUCAGCUGCAACUCAGGAAAGUCCGGGGACCCAGAUUCGAUUGGUGGAAAUUAUGCUGAGCUACAGAGAAAUGAACAGAGUUACACCUGCUUUUAUCAACCGAUAUUUGUAUCUACUACACAUGGCUUUAUGGACAUCAGUUCUGGGCCUGGCGAAAUAAUGAGUAUUGCAGAUGCAAAAACUGUCACAGACACAGAGAUGCAGGAGACAUUGGUCUCUUCUUUCUAUCCUUUUAUUCUCCACUCAAGCCACCAGGGCCUAAGGUGGCCAAGCUUGAAGGUCUCAUGCUACUUGGAUGUCUGAAGAAUGCUGGGCUAUUAUACUAUUAACACGAGUGUAGAAUCUGUGGAACUAAAUUAUGGGGUUCCUUUGCUGGUGGUAAGUUCUCAAAGUACUUUUUUUGCUAGCAGCUACCCACUUUGGAUAGUUUGCUUUGCCCAGGGGGUGCACUAAACAUUUGCUGAGGGAAAAGAAGGAAACUCUGUUUCUUCAUGAUUUCCCAAACGAUUUAGCCUCUGUUUGAGAGGCAGGUGACUUUAUUUGAGUGAAUACUAUGGGCACAAUCAUUAGUUUCUGUUGGAAGUAAACACUCAGCAAAAGAGUGACCUGUGAGGGUAAACAGCCCAGAGCACAUAAAGUCAUGCCCUGUUCAAGAAAGGCUGAGAACUCAGAACUGGAAUAAACAGUCUCAGUGACUACAUGUGAAUAAUGCUGAUUUUGCACCAAAAAAGAGCUUCCCAUCAAAUUUUAGUGCUUAUCUGAGAACCGCACUAAGAAUUGUAUAUUAAAGGGUGAAAAUAAUUUGCUGAAAUCCUACUUCUUCCCCUUAAAAAGUCACUGAUUAGCAAAAUUGCGAACAAAUAGCUUUUCAAGCAAGUCAGCAGCAAAACAGUCUACAUAAAUUACAUUAGUAGUGAAGAAAAAUUCCCCCAAAUGGGAUGCUUGGCCAUAAUAAUGAGUUAUUUUAGGAGAAAAUGUGAAUGGGAUUUUAUAUAAUCUUGGAAGGGGGGAGGUCUUGCGUGACAUGACACAAAUCAUGACAAAAUUCAGAAGCUGUAAAGGAAAAUAUUGAUACAUUUGACUUCACGCAAUUUGAAAGAUUUUAUGUCAAGGGUACCACAAAUGAAUUUAAAAUAUCAACCAAAAAGUAACCAUCAAAUAAAAUAUGAAUUUUAUAUUAAAAUAUAAAAUUGCUAAAAUACCUAGCAAUUUUCCAUUGCUAAGAAAAAUAUUUGCAACCUAAUGUGGUGGGGGCUGAUAGCCAGUGCCCUCUGAAAUCUGUAUUCUUUCUUCCAUUGCUGUGGAAUACUAGGGAGGCCUCAGUAGGACUCCAGAAUUGUGCCCACAAUCCCUGAUGUUCAUGCCCUGGCAUAGUCUCCUCCCCUUGAGUGUGGGCAGGACAUGCAACUUGUCUCUAGCCAUAGAAUAUGGCAAAGGUAGCAGGACACACAUGCUUGUGUGCAAGUGAUGAUGUAUGUAAGAUUGCACCACCUAUCUUGCUGGAGUCUCUCUCUCUUUUGUUGGCUUCGAGGAAAUCCCAUAUGACAAAGAAUUGAACAUGGCUCCUAGGAGCUGAAGGAAGCUUCAGAUGGGGCUGUUAGCAAGAAACUGAAGCCUUCAGUUCUACAGCUGCCAACAACCAGAAGCAGAUCUUUCCCUAGUCCAGACUCAGAUGAGACUGCAGCCGUAGCCAACACCUUAACCGCAACCUUGCAAAGGACCCAGUUGAGCUGUGCUCAAGCUCCUGACCCACAGGAACUGCAAGCUAAGAAAUGUUUAGUUUUAAGAUACUAAAUUAAUGGCAACAUUAUUAGGCAUAAUAGAUAGCUAAUGCAAACCCAACUAUACUGCAUCUCCCAGGCUCCCUUGCAGUUAGAUGUUGCCAUGUGACUAAGCUCUAAUCUACAGAAUGUGAACAGAGGACAUACAAAUGGCCAGUAAGCACACGAAAAGAUGCUCAACAUCACUAAUCUUUAGGUCAUUAGGGAAAUGCAAACUGAAAUCACAAUGAGAUUCCACCUUGUACCCGUUAAGAUGGCUACUAUAAAAAAAUAACCAGUGUUGGCAAGGAUAUGGAGAAACUGGAGCCCUUGUACGCUGUUGGUGGGAACGUAAAAUUGUAUGGCCUCCGAGGAAAACAGUUUGACAGCUCCUCCAAGAAUUAAACAUAGCAUUACUAUAUGAUCCAGCAAUUCCAUUUCUGAGAUAUACCUGAAAGAAUUCAAGGCAGGGUCUUGAAGAGAUAUUUGUACACUCAUGUUCACAGCAGCAUUAUUUAUUCACAGUAGCUAAAGUGUACAAUCAACCCACGUAUCCACAGACAGAAGAAUGGAUAAGCAAACUGUGGUCUAUACACACGAUGGAAUGUUAUUCAGCUUUAAAAAGGAAGGAAGGAAGUUCUGACACAUCCUACAACCUUGAUGAACCUUGAUGACAUAAUGCUAAGGGAAAUAAGGCAGUCCCCAAAGAGACAAAUACUGUAUGAUUCCACUUAUAUGAGGCAUCUACAGUAGUCAGAUUUAUAGAGACAGAAAGCAGAAUGGUGGGUGCCAGGGGAGGAGUGAGAAGUUGUUGUUUAAUGGGGACAGAGUUUCAGUUUUGCAGGACGAGAAGAGUUCUGGAGAUGGAUGGUGGUGACGUUUGCACAGCAAUGUGAAUGCACUUAAUGCCACUGAACCGUAUACUUAAAAAUGGUUAAUAUGGUAAAUUUUAUAUGUAUCAAAAGUUGCAAAAAAGCAAGUUGCAAAAAUAAUAUGUAGCACAACCCCAAUUUAUAAAAACAUGUAUGCUUGUUUGUUGUAUGCAUAAAGAAUUUCUGAAAGAAUACACAAAAAAACCCACAGUAGGGAGGCUGGGAAAUCAGAUGAGGGGGAGACCAACGUUUGUAUGUUUUCUGGUGCUGUUUGGAAUUUUAGUUUAUGACGUACAUGUCUUACUUCUAAAAUGUAAAACAAAUUAUUAAUGAGGAGAUUGGAUUUUCUCCUACAUUGAUUCCUUAGAUUACUCUGGGGCCAGCCCUUGAGGAUUAUACUGAUUCCUUAUGUUGGUUUCUGCUGAGAUGUUUGGAGCUGUUGGGUUUUGGUUUCUUCUACAAAACUGUUUUCCAGAGGGUAAUACUUAAUUCUUCAACAGCAAAACAGCCAGAAUAAAUUUUGAAACUUUGUUGGAUUGUAUCUGAAUGAUGUGAAUCAACAAAUAAAGGUCACUGAAAGAGGCUUCAGUGUUUCUAAGACACCAAAUAGAGCCACAAUCGAGACAGCAUUUGGCAAAAAAUGAACACACACAAUUCCUCACAUGUAGACACCAUGUCUUCUACUUUUUUUGUGUCUUCCAUGGCAUUCAGUAAAUUCUAUGUAGUACUAAGUUAAAUGCUUAAUAACUCCAUGGUGGGUGGAAACAAUUUUCAUGGCUAAUGUCGACGAGAAUAGAUCAUAUGACUAGUUCAUCUUGACUAUGUUGAUCUUUCAAUCAUCAGUCUCAGAGUUAAAAUAAUUAAAUCACUCAAAUUACCCAAAUAGGCAAAAGGAAUGUCGAGCAAGACACUAUCUUUAGGGGAGGGAAGAAUACACAGAAAUGUAUUUCUUGAAUGGCUCCAUAUAGAAGCAUUUGGAUGUGGACACCCUCACAAGCCCAAAGAGAUACAGCCUUUAGGUGAAGGAGAGAAGUAUUAGCUGGAGACCAGAGUGGCCCCGCCGCUGAAAAAGGAAGCAUUAAAAGUUGCACAUAGGGCUUCCCUGGUGGCGCAGUGGUUGAGAGUCCGCCUGCCGAUGCAGGGGACACGGGUUGGAGCCCUGGUCUGGGAGGAUCCCACAUGCCGCGGAACAACUAGGCCCGUGAGCCACAACUACUGAACCUGCGCGUCUGGAGCCUGUGCUCCGCAACAAGAGAGGCCGCGAUAGUGAGAGGCCCGCGCACCCCGAUGAAGAGUGGCCCCCGCUCGCCGCAACUAGAGAAAGCCCUUGCACAGAAACGAAGACCCAACACAG